rnacentral:lncRNA from 10 species
AUGUUGGACAGGGCGCGUCUGCGCCUCCGGCCGCCGCGGCUCCCGGGGCCUCCGCCUGCAGCCGGCGGCGGAACGAGGGCAGGCGGCUGAGACAGGCGAGCUAUUUGCAUUCCCCGGCAGUCAUUUUUAUAUGCGGAGAAACCCAACACACAGCUAUUCUGUCAGGCUGCCGAGAAAAGGCUGUUCGGCAGUUGCAGCCCUGGUGAGGCAAUGAGGAGGAAAGGUGGACGCACCUGCCUGGAGUGGUUGAAGGAAGGCAGUGAACAUCCACGCUCCUGGGGUUGGUUUUCCUGAACCUCUGUAGCUGUGCUGCUCACUGGGGCAGCCACUGACCACAAGAGGCUGCCGAGGGCUUGCAGUGUGGCCAGGCCAGACCAGGAUGUUCUCCAAGUGGGAAAUACACACCCCAUUGUAAAGAAGACUGUAUGGAAAAAAGAAUGUGAACUGGCUCAUUCAUCAUUUAAAAACAUUGAUUGCAUAUUGAAAUGAUAAUAUUUUGGGUAUAUGGGGUGAAAUAAAGUAUCAUGAAUUAAAUCUUUUUUUAAAA